GAACCAUACCGAACCUGACGGUUAAGCCGUAUCGUGCCGAUGGUAGUACGCUAAGACGUGUGAGAGUAGGUAUCGCCCCC
rnacentral:rRNA from 1 species